UAAGAUCUUUUAAAAAAAAUUAUGCUGUUAUCCCUAAGGUAAUUAAUUUUAGUAGUUUAAAAUUUUAGAUAAUUUAUUCAUUAAUUAUUGUUUUGCAAAAAAAAAUUUUUUAAAUUUUUUAAUUACCCCAAUUAAAUUUAUUUUUUAAUUUAAAUAAAUUAAUUUAAUAUUUAUAAUAUUAAAUAAAUAAAAUUCUAUAGGGUCUUGUCGUCUUUUUAAUUUAUUUAAGUUUUUUUACUUAAAUAAUAAUUUAAAUUUUUAUUUAAUUGAAACAGUUUAUAUUUUAUUAAAUCAUUCAUACUAGUUUUUAA
rnacentral:rRNA from 1 species